rnacentral:rRNA from 1 species
AUUGAACGCUGGCGGCAUGCCUUACACAUGCAAGUCGAACGGCAGCACGGGGCAACCUGGUGGCGAGUGGCGAACGGGUGAGUAAUGCAUCGGAACGUGCCAUUGAGUGGGGGAUAACGUAGCGAAAGUUGCGCUAAUACCGCAUAUUCUGUGAGCAGGAAAGCAGGGGACCGCAAGGCCUUGCGCUCUUUGAGCGGCCGAUGUCAGAUUAGCUAGUUGGUGAGGUAACGGCUUACCAAGGCGACGAUCUGUAGCGGGUCUGAGAGGAUGAUCCGCCACACUGGAACUGAGACACGGUCCAGACUCCUACGGGAGGCAGCAGUAGGGAAUUUUGGACAAUGGGCGCAAGCCUGAUCCAGCCAUGCCGCGUGAGUGAAGAAGGCC